rnacentral:rRNA from 1 species
GAUGAACGCUGGCGGCGUGCCUAAUACAUGCAAGUCGAGCGAACAGAUGAGGAGCUUGCUCCUCUGACGUUAGCCGCGGACGGGUGAGUAACACGUGGAUAACCUACCUAUAAGACUGGGAUAACCUCGGGAAACCGGAGCUAAUACCGGAUAAUCUAUUGAACCGUAUGGUUCAAUAGUGAAAGACGGCUUUGCUGUCACUACUAGCUGCAUCUGCGCCGCAUUAGCUGGUUGGUCAGGUCACGGCUUACCAAGGCAACGAUGCGUAGCCGACCUGAGGGAGGGGUCGGCGGCACGGGAGCUGAGACACGGUCCAGGCUCCUACGGGAGGCAGCAGUAGGGAAUCUUACGCAAUGGGCGAAAGCCUGACGGAGCAACGCCGCGUGAGUGAUGAAGGUCUUCGGAUCGUAAAACUCUGUUAUUAGGGAAGAACAAAUGUGUAAGUAACUAUGCCCGUCUUGACGGUACCUAGUCAGAAAGCCACGGCUAACUACGUG